UGCAUACAUAUGUAUGUACAUUUUGAUCAGUCCAUUGACGAACAUGUAUAUACAUACACGUAUGCGCAUAUAUGUCUAUACGAAGAAAUUUAGUUAUUACAGUUACAUGGAUAACUGCGUUGUACCUGAAUUUGCGAUCUGAAAUUUACAUAUUUGAAAAAGGGCAGUCAAAAAUUUAUAUUUUACAACAACCGUUGAUUAGUCUAGACAAUGAAUUUCCUAACGAUAAAACUACUCUGUACAUACAUACAUAUGUAGAUGUGUAUGGUGUGUAUCCUUGUCCGGCAUUAAAACAAAAAAAUAACAUUUUUCCUGCAAGUGCACAGCAGGAUUAAAUCUGGUAUCGUCAGAUUCUUUUGAUACCCAUGCGUUUGUAUGUAUUUUAUAUGGAUGUAUAUACAUACGUGUGUAUGUAUGUGCCAUGCCUUUUGUAAUUUAACGUCUUACUCAAAUCUCUCUAUGAAAGAAGCGGACACAUGCUGUGCUUCUACAGCUUACACAUACAAACAAGUCUGUAUGUUUGUUUAACGUGCAUUUGUGUGAUUUUCCAGACCCUUUAUGAGUGUAGUGUACAUAUGUGUGUAUAAAUAUCCGCACAAAACAAUCGUAUUUGCAGCUCUUUAGUCAUGCCGUGUACCCAAUGACUUUAUUAUCCUCUCCUCUUUGGUUCAGUAAAAAUUUUAAAGGCUUAAUUAGUCAGCGGUUCGAUGCCGAAAAGGGUGGAGAACGUUUGGUUAAAGCGGUAUGCUCGCACACUUGUGUAUACAUAUGUGUAUACACACAUUGUUUCUUUUUCGAUUAAGACGGAGCAAGCAGGCAGAUUGAAGCAUCAUCAUUAGCAAGAAACUGAGCUGAGAAGACCUUUGGAAUAAUGUUGUCCGACGAAGAAAUACAUACAAAUUUGUACAAACAUACCUAUAAAAGAAAAACAGACAAAAAAAGGGGCAAUAACAAAACAAAGGGAACGCUUUUUGGACCUUUAUAGGUACAAAUAUAUAAUAUGUGUACAUAUAUUGUAUAAAUUAGCUUUCAUUAUAUAUAUGUAUGUAAUGAAAUUUAACAAUUAAAAGUAUUUUUACACUUGGAGCAAUAUAUAGACAUUAUUUUUUCAAGUAUGGUAUACAUGUGUAUGUACAUAAAAGCCUUCUGGGUUUAGCCUUUAAACUGGAUAUUGCGUAGAUUCAUAUGCACAAAUGCCUAUACAAAUGUACGUACAUUGUAUGUAUAUUUUCACAAGCGUCAAUACACAAACAUAUGUACGUCUGAUAGUUGUAUAAACAUUUAGAAAAAAGAUUCCCAAGAGGCUAUGCAUGCAUACAUAUGCGUCUGUGAAUUAGGGCGGACUUUGGCUUUAUUCAAAGUCCUGCAGUACCACCUCUUUUUUAAUAAAGUAAAAGCUUCCAUCGAUCAUAAAAAGCGAUAUCAACCUUAAAUGUACAUACAAUUUAUUCCCCGUAAUUUCUUUAAUUCUGAGGAAAGUAAAGAAAUUACAAAUUGUGGACAUAGGUUUAGCGCCUUUACCGGGGGUCUUUGACAUGUUACAUUUUCGUUUCUUAAUAAAGUUAUACAUUUUUUAUUUUGUAUAUGGAAAUAAAUAAAUAUGGAAAUAAAUAAAUAAGUAUUGUUAAUCAAUCACUCGUAUCUAUGCGCCAUUUAAUAAGACAAGAAGUGUGCUACUCCCGUGGCCAGCACUGUAGAUCGAAACAAACUAGAAGACUACGAAAUGAAAAUACAGUUAGAAAAUGUCCUAUCUUAUUUACAUGUUCUAUUUAAGGUAGUUACAAAAUAAAUAUUAAUAUUAAGAACCAUGAGUUUUCAUAAUUGAAAAUUAUAAAUGCAAAACGACUGUCUCCGUCACUGGGUUUAUGGUCAAUUAAUUAUAGUUACUUAUAGAAUUAUCGGGUAUACAAGAUUCGUUUAAAAGUAUCUAACAGAUAAUUCGUAUUGGACAAUUUUAAGUAUACAUAUUCUUAAUCAGGAUAAGAAGUAACUUUAACUUUUUAACUUUUUUUGUCAAUAGAAAGGACUUUGUUUUUGGCAAUUAUUUACACAGGUAAAAAAGAAAACAACACGAAAAAAUUGAAAGUCCUUUAAUUAUCAUUCCGCAUACUAUAAUAUUAUUUACAUUUGACAUUAAAAAAAUAACCGUUGCUGCUGCUUGCUUGUUUAACCUAAAAAUAGUGAUUUACUAGAAAAAUAGCAAUGACUUCAUUAUGGACUAAAAAUUAAAUAAAAAGUUGCCUCUCCAAGUGAUAUUAAAAAAAGUUAGGUUAAAGCUACGGAGGACAUUCAUAUUAGUUGAAGCAGCAGGAAAGCUGCGACAUCGCCUGUUUAAAUGACACUUAACUUGAAGACCCAUUCAAGUGUGUUUCAUUGAAUGGUUAAGUAUUAAGUAUCAACAAAAUUUAACAAAACAUUGUUAUUUAUAAGAAUAAAAACCAAAACCAACUGCAGUUCGUAAAAUAAAAAAGAUUAUUUUGAUUAUGAAA